UACAACGGGGGUUUUUAAUAAAUCCUAAAGUACAAAUCCUUCACUAUUAAGCAUAUAAUAUUAAUAUUAAACUCACUUAACUUAAGGAUCAAUCCUUUCCUAAGGAUUAUUUUGCGUGAAUCCUUGUUGACGUGGCACUUGUUUUUUGUCUAUCGCGUGCAGGGUUUCCCGUGUUCGUGUCAUUUGAAGUGGAGAGGAGAAAAAAAAAGUUUGUCUCUCCGAUAGGCGAUUCGCUCUCUCCGGGUAAGAUUUUUGAAUCGACGGGUUGUUCUGUUCUUCUCCUCUGAUUCUUUGGAUUUACAUAGGGUUUCAUGUGUUUCUCUUCGCAAAUUAGGUUACGGAAUUGGGGAUUAGGGUUUUCAAUCACGUUUUGAAUUUCAAUCAAUUUCGGGUAUCUUUCGUUUGUAAUAAAGGUUUAAAAUCGAUAGAGGUAUCAUUCGAUAGGAUUUUAAUAGGGCUUUGAAUCAGAUUAAAUAUCGUGAGUCUUGUGUUUAAAAAUGAUUUGUGUUUCAAUCGAUUUGGGGUAUUUUUCCUUUG
rnacentral:lncRNA from 1 species